rnacentral:rRNA from 1 species
GAUGAACGCUAGCUACAGGCUUAACACAUGCAAGUCGAGGGGCAGCAUGGUCUUAGCUUGCUAAGGCCGAUGGCGACCGGCGCACGGGUGAGUAACACGUAUCCAACCUGCCGUCUACUCUUGGACAGCCUUCUGAAAGGAAGAUUAAUACAAGAUGGCAUCAUGAGUUCACAUGUUCACAUGAUUAAAGGUAUUCCGGUAGACGAUGGGGAUGCGUUCCAUUAGAUAGUAGGCGGGGUAACGGCCCACCUAGUCUUCGAUGGAUAGGGGUUCUGAGAGGAAGGUCCCCCACAUUGGAACUGAGACACGGUCCAAACUCCUACGGGAGCAGCAGUGAGGAAUAUUGGUCAAUGGGCGAGAGCCUGAACCAGCCAAGUAGCGUGAAGGGAUGACUGCCCUAUGGGUUGUAAACUUCUUUUAAUAAAGGAAUAAAGUCGGGUAUGUAUACCCGUUUGCAUGUACUUUAUGAAUAAGGAUCGGCUAACUCCGUGCCAG